rnacentral:lncRNA from 1 species
CUGCUUUGAAAAUAGUAUUCCAUUGUCUUGAAUCCAGUGUUGCUAUUGAAAUGUCUGAUGGCAUUCUGAUUCGUCUUCUUUUUGUGAUCUGCUAUUCCUCUCUAGCAGCUUUAGAAUCUUUUUGUUGUCUCUAAUCUUAUUAAAGUUCAUUCUAAAAUGUCUAGGUGUGAACUUUUCCUUCUCACUCCUCUUUUCCUAUUUUACCAUUUAAAUCUUGAGUCGUCUUUCUUUAAUUCUGGCAAAUAUGUUUCCAUUAUUCCUUGAGAAGUCUCCUCAUUUCCAAUUUUUCCAGUUCUUUUGAGAAUUCUCUUAUUGAUGUCGGCGUUUCCUCCUCUAUUCUCCAUAUUCUUUAACUUCAAAAAGUCUUUUUCCACAGUUUUCUUCCCUGUGCCCACACGGAACAGUUCCUAACUCUGUGGUCUUCUAAUUUGCUGAUUCACUGCGGAUGCGUCCAUUUUACUAUUUAACCAAUCUGGUUUUUUCUUUAACUUCAACUAUUACAUUAUUCAUAAGUAAUAUUUCUCCUUUAGCCUAUUUUACGCUAUUUUACAACAUUAUAAUAUUGUCAGUAUAUUCCCUUGUCCCUUUCUACAGUGCUUUUAGGCUCUUAGGACUUUUUCCACUGUUCUAAUAACUCUGGGUUAAUGAAAACUGUAACCUCACUUUAUCCCUGUUGCCUCCAACCUGCUCUCUCUCUUUGCUAUAGGUUCUGGUCUGUCCUUCUAGUGUUUCAUUUUGCAAAUAUAAACAGUCUUUUGAAUGUGUUCAUAUGUAUCUCUUGCACAAAAGCCUUUGUAUCAUAGUUCUCUUUUUGCCUUGCACUUCUUCACUUAAUUUUUCGCUGGAGGUCACUCUAGAAUAGUAUACAGAUGAUGUCCUUCUGUUUUGUCAAUGCAUAAUUGAGUGGACAUACCAUAAUUGUUUUCAGCAAGGCCUCUUUUGGUUGACAUCUGGGUUAUUUCCAAAUUUUUACUGUUACAAAUUUUGUAACAAUGGCAAACUUAUUCAUACAUCUUUUCACCUAUAGGCCAGUGUUUUGGGGGGAUAGAUUCCAAAAGGUGAGACUACGGCUUCAGGAGAGGAAUUGCAUAUGUAAUUUUGCUAAAUAUUGCCACACUCUCCUUUAUAGGUGCUAUAAUAUUUUUAUUCCAAUCUGUUGCUACCGUAACGGUUUUUUUGGUCCACAUAAAACUGAAAUUUAAAUUUGUGUCAAUGGCUCCAAUUAUGAUAAAAAUAUUUCCUAAUAUCAUUUCCUGAUGUUUCCAUUCUACGAUUCCUCCUCUGUUGACAUCUCUUUUCUUUACUUUGAUUCUCCAGGUGCCACAGUGCUUGUUUCCCCUUCUCUACUCUUUCUCAGUUUUUACCCCAAUUUAUUCUGGUGUCUUGUCUUUCAUCAUUGACCUUGCUCAGAGUCAAUUAUUUUUUUCUUUUCUAUGUUACAUAUUUCAGGAUAUUUUUUUCCAUAGUUAAGAGAUUUGGUCAAAUAAUCACAAUUCUAUUAAUCAACAUUAUCAUUUCAUGUCAAAUAAGAAACUCAGACGGUGGUUUCAUUCAAAUUUUGAAGGUUGACAAGUUUGUUCAACUGAAUUAUACUGACAUAUUUUCUUAAGUCCUUUGAAUUAAGGCAUUGAUUUUUCCCCCAAAAGGAUGCAUUGGAUUUUCCUGCUUCAUAAUCUUUAUAAUUUGAGGUCAUCUCAUCCAUCCAUGACAUCUGUCACUUCAGUGGUACCCAAGCCAAGCAACAUGGGAAGUUUCCAAUCUUCUCCAAAAACUUCCCAAAGGCUGUUUUAAUUUUAUUUUAAAUUUGAAUAUGCCAGUGCCUGGACUAAACAAUUGUGCUGAUUCUUCUUUCUGUUCUCCCUAAAUCUGGUCUCUCUCACAUGUCUCAGAUGUGCUGCUUGCUACUUUUUUUUUCUUUUGCAGGGAACGAUUCACCCUGAGCUAACAUCUGUUGCCAGUCUUCCUCUUUUUUUUCUCUCCCCGAAGCCCCAGUGCAUGGUUGUACAUCCUAGUUUUACGUCCAUUUUUUCUUCUGUGUGAGCUGCUGCCACAGUAUGCAACUGACAGAUGGAUGGUGUGCUUCCGCAACUGGGAAACGAACCUGGGCUGCUGAAGUGGUGAGAGCACCGAACUUUAAACCACUAGGCCAUCAGGGCUGGCUCACUGUUUGCUACUUUUCCUUUGAAAGUCACCUUUCUUUCCUUUACCAUGACCCACACCAGUAUCACCAAAAUAUCGCCACAGGAAUUCCCAGUCAGAACAGUGAAAAUGGCUUCAUAUCCUCCAGAAUAUGGACUGUCUUGGAUUGGAAUCAGAGGCUUGCAAAACCAUGGAAACUCAGAAUCACAGAACCAUGGAGUCUUGGAACUGAGAGCACAGUGGAGCUGACAUAGUGAUCCAGCCACCAUGGAGAAGAGGUAUGAUUAUCCUGAAACGACAAUACUUUUAAGGAAGCCUAAGCGAGUCACCUGGAGAGGCUACAGGGAAGAGAACUGAAGUGUCCAAGUGACAGCCCCGCAUGAGAUCCCAGCCUUCAGCAGAGACCAACGGCCACCACGUUGGACAUUCCAAAUCGGUUGAACCUCCAGUGAGCCAUCUUGGACAUUCCAAACUGGUUGAGUCUUCAGAUAACGGCAGCCACAGCUCACACCACAUGGAGAAGAACUGACACUGAGGAUGAAGGAGUUAAAAUUUCCCUGGAUUAGGGUGAAACUGUGCCUUUGACCCACAAGGUUAACGUGGGAAACAAAAUAACCAAAGCAUCUGAGCUUGCCUUGCACAACAGCAGGAGGACCGCCGAUAAGAGAGGAAUUUGCUGACAGGCCUCCUCCUGACCCCCCCAGUACAUAGUUGUAUAUUCUUCGUUGUGGGUCCCUCUAGUUGUGGCAUGUGGGACGCCGCCUCAGCGUGGUCUGAUGAGCAGUGCCAUGUCCGCGCCCAGGAUUCAAACCAACGAAACACUGGGCCGCCUGCAGCGGAGCGCGCGAA